AUUGAACGCUGGCGGCGUGCCUAACACAUGCAAGUCGAGCGGUAACAGGUGUAGCAAUACAUGCUGACGAGCGGCGAACGGGUGAGUAAUGCUUCGGAAUCUACCCAACGGUGGGGAAUAACCAGCCGAAAGGUUGGCUAAUACCGCAUACGUCCUACGGGAGAAAGCAGGGGAUCGUAAGACCUUGCGCCAAUGGAUGAGCCGAAGUCGGAUUAGCUAGUUGGUAGGGAACGGCCUACCAAGGCGACGAUCCGUAGCUGGUCUGAGAGGACGACCAGCCACACUGGGACUGAGACACGGCCCAGACUCCUACGGGAGGCUGCAGUCGCGAAUCAUUCACAAUGGACGCAAGUCUGAUGAUGCCACGCCGCGUGCGGGAUGAAGGCCCUCUGGGUUGUAAACCGCUGUCAA
rnacentral:rRNA from 1 species